AACCUUACCUGGUCUUGACAUAGUAAGAACUUUCCAGAGAUGGAUUGGUGCCUUCGGGAACUUACAUACAGGUGCUGCAUGGCUGUCGUCAGCUCGUGCCGUGAGAUGUUGGGUUAAGUCCCGCAACGAGCGCAACCCUUUUCCUUAUUUGCCAGCGGGUUAAGCCGGGAACUUUAAGGAUACUGCCAGUGACAAACUGGAGGAAGGCGGGGACGACGUCAAGUCAUCAUGGCCCUUACGACCAGGGCUACACACGUGCUACAAUGGUCGGUACAAAGGGUUGCUACCUAGCGAUAGGAUGCUAAUCUCAAAAAGCCGAUCGUAGUCCGGAUUGGAGUCUGCGACUCGACUCCAUGAAGUCGGAAUCGCUAGUAAUCGCGGAUCAGAAUGCCGCGGUGAAUACGUUCCCGGGCCUUGUACACACCGCCCGUCACACCAUGGGAGUUUGUUGCGCCAGAAGUAGGUAGUCUAACCGCAAGGAGGACGCUUACCACGGUGUGGCCGAUGACUGGGGUGAAGUCGUAACAAGGUAAGCGUAGAUGA
rnacentral:rRNA from 1 species